rnacentral:misc_RNA from 1 species
UACGAAGGGGGCUAGCGUUGUUCGGAAUUACUGGGCGUAAAGGGCACGUAGGCGGCUUGUCAAGUUGGGGGUGAAAUCCCGGGGCUCAACCCCGGAACUGCCUCCAAAACUGGCAAGCUAGAGAUCGAGAGAGGUGAGUGGAAUUCCUAGUGUAGAGGUGAAAUUCGUAGAUAUUAGGAGAAACACCAGUGGCGAAGGCGGCUCACUGGCUCGAAUCUGACGCUCAGGUGCGAAAGCGUGGGGAGCAAACAGG